GACGAACGCUGGCGGCGUGCUUAACACAUGCAAGUCGAACGGAAAAGCCCUGCUUUUGUGGGGUGCUCGAGUGGCGAACGGGUGAGUAACACGUGAGUAACCUGCCCUUGACUUUGGGAUAACUUCAGGAAACUGGGGCUAAUACCGGAUAGGAGCUCCUGCUGCAUGGUGGGGGUUGGAAAGUUUCGGCGGUUGGGGAUGGACUCGCGGCUUAUCAGCUUGUUGGUGGGGUAGUGGCUUACCAAGGCUUUGACGGGUAGCCGGCCUGAGAGGGUGACCGGCCACAUUGGGACUGAGAUACGGCCCAGACUCCUACGGGAGGCAGCAGUGGGGAAUAUUGCACAAUGGGCGGAAGCCUGAUGCAGCAACGCCGCGUGCGGGAUGACGGCCUUCGGGUUGUAAACCGCUUUCGCCUGUGACGAAGCGUGAGUGACGGGAAUGGGUAAAGAAGCACCGGCUAACUACGU
rnacentral:rRNA from 1 species